UACGUAGGGUGCAAGCGUUGUCCGGAAUUAUUGGGCGUAAAGGGCGCGUAGGCGGCCCUGUCAGUCGGGUGUGAAAGCCCGGGGCUCAACCCCGGGAACGGCCACCCGAGACGGCAGGGCUGGAGACCGGGAGAGGAGGGUGGAAUAGCCAGUGUAGAGGUGAAAAUUCGUAGAUAUUGGCUGGAACACCGGUGGCGAAAGCGGCUCUCGUGGGACGGUACUGACGCUGAGACGCGAAAGCGUGGGGAGCGAACAGG
rnacentral:rRNA from 1 species